GGGGCCGAUCGGUUUCGACGGUAGUUGUCCAGCGAGGGGAAGCGGGCCGAGAAUCCAGAGUCAUCUCGUUAAUGUCCUCUGGAAACCAAUAAGUGCCGAACCCAAGCGCACUGACUUCGCUCUCGCUGCCUGAUUCAGCCUGAGCAGUCUGGAACCCCGCGUAUGCUCCUGACGCGGAUCGUUCCAUCAUCUAAGGAGCCACUGCUGCCGGCCCUCGUCAUCGGGGUCGGAUGAACACCUCAGAGUGACUGAGUCCGUCGACGACAUGUCCGUGCGAGCGUCGGGACUGAGAACACGAUUGUCACGGACUGCGCCCGGAGAAGCCCUGGCUUCGCACUAUCGGACGCGGGUUCGAUUC
rnacentral:tmRNA from 1 species